AUUGAACGCUGGCGGCAGGCUUAACACAUGCAAGUCGAGCGGGGUGAUGGUGCUUGCACUAUCACCUAGCGGCGGACGGGUGAGUAAUGCUUAGGAAUCUGCCUAUUAGUGGGGGACAACAUUUCGAAAGGAAUGCUAAUACCGCAUACGUCCUACGGGAGAAAGCAGGGGAUCUUCGGACCUUGCGCUAAUAGAUGAGCCUAAGUCGGAUUAGCUAGUUGGGGGGGUAAAGGCCUACCAAGGCGACGAUCUGUAGCGGGUCUGAGAGGAUGAUCCGCCACGCUGGGGCUGAGACACGGCCCAGACUCCUACGGGAGGCAGCAGUGGGGAAUAUUGGACAAUGGGCGGAAGCCUGAUCCAGCCAUGCCGCGUGUGUGAAGAAGGCCUUUUGGUUGUAAAGCACUUUAAGCGAGGAGGAGGCUACCUGGAUUAAUACUCUAGGAUAGUGGACGUUACUCGCAGAAUAAGCACCGGCUAACUCUGUGCCAGCCGCCGCAGUAAUAC
rnacentral:rRNA from 1 species